rnacentral:pre_miRNA from 1 species
GUACUGUGUCUGUGUGUCUGUACUGUGUCUGUGUGUCUGUACUGUGUCUGUGUGUCUGCACAGUACAGACACAGUACAGACACAGUACAGACACAGUACAGACACACAGACACAGUACAGACACANNN